rnacentral:lncRNA from 1 species
GAAAAAUCCUUUUUUCUUGUGUCGAAACGAAAGAGUAAUGAUUCUUGAUCCUGUUUGUUAAAAAUUCCUAGUCUUGGUUUCAAUUUUUCCAGAUGUAUCAGAAACCCUACACCUACCCCCUUACAUAUAAUAUAUGAAUUGGUGGACAAACAAAACAAAAAAGAGAGGAAAUUUUAUUAAUUAAAUAAAACUUCUUCAAUCAACUUAUCUUAUAAAAAAUUUGAUGAUGAAAUAGGAAAACAAUAAAAAAUAAAUAGAGUAAUGUAAUAUAGAGAGUGUAAUAUAGAGAGUAAGGUUCUACAUUAGAUUAGUAUAGAAAGGAUUUGCACGCUAUCUAAUAUAUGAUAGCAGCCAAGAAAUUGAGUGAUUCCUU